GAAAUGCGAUAAGUAAUGUGAAUUGCAGAAUUCAGUGAAUCAUCGAAUCUUUGAACGCACAUUGCGCCCCCUGGUAUUCCGGGGGGCAUGCCUGUUCGAGCGUCAUUUCACCACUCAAGCCUCGCUUGGUAUUGGGCGACGCGGUCCGCCGCGCGCCUCAAAUCGACCGGCUGGGUCUUCCGUCCCCUCAGCGUUGUGGAAACUAUUCGCUAAAGGGUGCCGCGGGAGGUCACGCCGCAAAACAACCCCAUUUCUAAGGUUGACCUCGGAUCAGGUAGGGAUACCCGCUGAACUUAAGCA
rnacentral:misc_RNA from 1 species